rnacentral:rRNA from 1 species
UACGUAGGGUGCGAGCGUUGUCCGGAAUUAUUGGGCGUAAAGAGCUCGUAGGCGGUCUGUCGCGUCUGCCGUGAAAACCCGAGGCUUAACCUCGUGGCUUGCGGUGGAUACGGGCAGACUAGAGGUAGGUAGGGGAGAAUGGAAUUCCCGGUGUAGCGGUGAAGUGCGCAGAUAUCGGGAGGAACACCGGUGGCGAAGGCGGUUCUCUGGGCCUUACCUGACGCUGAGGAGCGAAAGCGUGGGGAGCGAACAGG